rnacentral:rRNA from 1 species
UGGCGGACGGGUGAGUAACACGUGGGCAAUCUACCUUUCGGGUGAGGAAUACCGGCGAGAAAUCGCCGACAAUACCGCAUACGCUCGGGUAACCGAGCAAAGUCGCAAGACGCCGGAGGAGGAGCCUGCGCCCGAUUAGCUAGUUGGUGGAGUAAUGGUCUACCAAAGCGAAGAUCGGUAGCCGGCCUGAGAGGGCGCACGGCCACACUGGAACUGAGACACGGUCCAG